ACGCUCGACACCUACGGGAGCAGCAGUGGGGAAUAUUGCACAAUGGGGGAAACCCUGAUGCAGCGACGCCGCGUGAGCGAAGAAGUAUUUCGGUAUGUAAAGCUCUAUCAGCAGGGAAGAAACUGACGGUACCUGACUAAGAAGCACCGGCUAAAUACGUGCCAGUAGCCGCGGUAAUCUGAGCGGGCGUGGCAAGGC
rnacentral:rRNA from 1 species